UCAAAUAGUUUGACCAAGACCUAUAGGAUCAUGGAUAUAGCAUGUGUUGUAACUAGUACUUUUCUCACCUCCUAAUUAUUGUAUUGAACACUUAAGUUCGGAUUGUAAUAUUUUCAACUCUAUUAUUUAAGUAAUGAAUGACUUUGUUAAAAAAAAAAAAAAACCUUCUCUAUGAGUCCAAGACGCGUAGAAAUUAGCAAUCGGUUACGAUCAUGCCAUAGCACUAGUGUUCUUGACUAAAAAUGGGCCCAAACACGGCAUAGAAACGUAUAUUGAUGAUUCAGCCGAAAGACGAAAAUAAAAUGGAUUGAUCAGUGUUGUUGGUGGGGUGGCAAAUUUGGCAAUGGCAUGGUUCACUAUUGAGCAUGCUGCGUGAGUUAUUUUAUUUUAUUUAGUGCUACAUCUAAGUACAAUCUUGCAGGGUAUUGCCGUCAAUACACCUACACCACAUAUAUAUGUAUUAUCUAAUCUAAUUAUUACAUGUAAGUGGAGGAGAUUAGAUAGUUCACAAUUUUGGCAUGAGUUGUCUUAUCUCUAUGCUUCUUUCAUACUUCCUCUGGUUUGAUCAUGUAAGUGAUAUAUUUCGAGGAUCAAGGUUGGCCUAGUGGUUCUAAGAUCCUCCUUUCACCUUUGUAAUAGAGGUUCGAUUCUCAUCCUUUAUAAGAAGAAUCUCCAAUUUCCCCCUUCUUUACACGAGAAUUCUCCUUAUCGUACCAAAAAAUGGAAGCCCGCGAAGCCGCGAUCAAUCAAUUCCUAUAGAUGGCUUUACUCUUAUGUAAAGAGCAAAAGGCGCAUCAAAAGGUAAUAUUUUAACUCGAACUUCACUUGUUUAUUAGACGGGUUGGAAAAAUAUUAGACUUAGGGCUUGUUUUUUUCGGCAUAAAACAGCUGAACUGAACUGAACUGAAUUGAACUGAACUGAAUUGAACUGAACUGAACUGAUCUGAACUGAACUGAUCUGAACUGAACUGAACUGAAAUGAAAUGAAUAGUGAUAUGUGAGAGUAAAAGUAUUGUCAAGAGCUGAACUGAACUGAACUGAAAUGAAGUGGUCUGAACUGAACUGAACUGAUCUGAACUGAACUGAAUUGAACUGAACUGAACUGAACUGAAUUGAACUGAACUGAACUGAACUGAAUUGAACUGAACUGAACUGAACUGAAAAUAAGUUGGGGAGAACAGGCCCUUAGUUUAAUUUAUAUAAUCAGUUAAUCAAGUUGAUCGAUUAGAUUUAAAGGGUUCAAUGGGUUAAAAUUUACAACCUUGCAUAUGUUAAUAUUGUUGGAUUUAGGUCGGGUUCUUUUAUGAUAUUUUAGGUCGAACAAAUUUUGGUUUGACCUCAAGUUUAUUUAGGAAGCAAGAAUCCCACAUAAUAAACUUUAUUACAAUUUUUGUGAAACUCCUAGAAAUGUUUAUAUAUUUUUAUUAUGAUUUUUUAGUACCAUUAAAUGCUAUAAAAUGUUCCCAAUUCGGCAAUAAAAUGUUAGUUUAAAAUUUAUAGUAAAAGUUUUGAUGUCCAUAUAAAAAAAUAGGCAUAUAACUAGGUAUGUUAUAGACAUGUACUCUUCACAUUAUUUUUGAUUAUUUUUCAGGACAUAUGAGAAAAGUUCAAAAAAGUUAAGAAAAGUUAAGAAAAGUUCAAGAAAAUAAGAAAAGUUCGGAUAAAAAUAUAAGAAAGGGUCAUAAAAGAUUAAAAAAAAGCUCUAUAUAAAAAUUACUAAGAAAUGUUUAGAAAAAAGACGAAGAGUUAGGAAUAGUUAACAAAACUUCAUAAUUAAUAAGAAAAGAUGAGAAAUUUCAAAAAUAUUCUGAAAAAAUAAGAAAA